rnacentral:rRNA from 1 species
GUGGGGAAUUUUGGACAAUGGGCGAAAGCCUGAUCCAGCCAUGCCGCGUGCAGGAUGAAGGCCUUCGGGUUGUAAACUGCUUUUGUACGGAACGAAAAGACUCCUUCUAAUAAAGGGGGUCCAUGACGGUACCGUAAGAAUAAGCACCGGCUAACUACGUGCCAGCAGCCGCGGUAAUACGUAGGGUGCAAGCGUUAAUCGGACUUACUGGGCGUAAAGCGUGCGCAGGCGGUUAUAUAAGACAGAUGUGAAAUCCCCGGGCUCAACCUGGGAACUGCAUUUGUGACUGUAUAGCUAGAGUACGGUAGAGGGGGAUGGAAUUCCGCGUGUAGCAGUGAAAUGCGUAGAUAUGCGGAGGAACACCGAUGGCGAAGGCAAUCCCCUGGACCUGUACUGACGCUCAUGCACGAAAGCGUGGGGAGCAAACAGGAUUAGAAACCCCGGUAGUCC